rnacentral:rRNA from 1 species
GAUGAACGCUGGCGGCGUGCCUAAUACAUGCAAGUCGAGCGAACGGACGAGAAGCUUGCUUUUCUGAUGUUAGCGGCGGACGGGUGAGUAACACGUGGAUAACCUACCUAUAAGACUGGGAUAACUUCGGGAAACCGGAGCUAAUACCGGAUAAUAUUUUGAACCGCAUGGUUCAAAAGUGAAAGACGGUCUUGCUGUCACUUAUAGAUGGAUCCGCGCUGCAUUAGCUAGUUGGUAAGGUAACGGCUUACCAAGGCAACGAUGCAUAGCCGACCUGAGAGGGUGAUCGGCCGCACUGGAACUGAGACACGGUCCAGACUCCUACGGGAGGCAGCAGUAGGGAAUCUUCCGCAAUGGGCGAAAGCCUGACGGAGCAACGCCGCGUGAGUGAUGAAGGUCUUCUGAUCGUAAAACUCUGUUAUUAGGGAAGAACAUAUGUGUAAGUAACUGUGCACAUCUUGACGGUACCUAAUCAGAAAGCCACGGCUAACUACGUG